rnacentral:rRNA from 1 species
GACGAACGCUGGCGGCGUGCUUAACACAUGCAAGUCGAACGGAAAGGCCUGCUUUCCCUUGUGGAUUGCGGGUGCUCGAGUGGCGAACGGGUGAGUAACACGUGAGUGAUCUGCCCCCAACUUGGGUAUAAGCCUGGGAAACUGGGUCUAAUUCCCGAUAGGACUGCAGGGUGGUGCCUGUGGUGGAAAACGAUUUUCUAGUGGUUGGGGAUGAGCUCGCGGCCUAUCAGCUUGUUGGUGGGGUAAUGGCCUACCAAGGCGGCGACGGGUAGCCGGCCUGAGAGGGUGGACGGCAACAUUGGGACUGAGAUACGGCCCAGACUCCUACGGGAGGCAGCAGUGGGGAAUAUGGCACAAGGGGCGGAAGCCUGAUGCAGCGACGCCGCGUGGGGGAUGACGGGCUUCGGGUUGUAAACUCCUUUCGACAGCGAGGAAGCCACCUGGUUGGAAGGGUGGUGACGGUAGUGGUAGAAGAAGCACCGGCUAACUACGUG